rnacentral:rRNA from 1 species
AUUGAACGCUGGCGGCAUGCUUUACACAUGCAAGUCGAACGGUAACAGGCCGCCAGGUGCUGACGAGUGGCGAACGGGUGAGUAAUGCAUCGGAACGUGCCCAGUCGUGGGGGAUAACUACUCGAAAGAGUAGCUAAUACCGCAUACGAUCUAUGGAUGAAAGCGGGGGACCGUAAGGCCUCGCGCGAUUGGAGCGGCCGAUGUCAGAUUAGGUAGUUGGUGGGGUAAAGGCUCACCAAGCCAACGAUCUGUAGCUGGUCUGAGAGGACGACCAGCCACACUGGGACUGAGACACGGCCCAGACUCCUACGGGAGGCAGCAGUGGGGAAUUUUGGACAAAGGGCGCAAGCCUGAUCCAGCAAUGCCGCGUGCAGGAAGAAGGCCUUCGGGUUGUAAACUGCUUUUGUACGGAACGAAACGGCUCUGGUUAAUACCCGGGGCUAAUGACGGUACCGUAAGAAUAAGCACCGGCUAACUACGUG